ensembl:lncRNA
GUUAUAUUCCUAUAAAAUCCUUCUUAAUUAAAAAGUGUGAUCAACAUAGCUAACAGCUAUAAAAGGGACAUCUGUGCCCUAUGCAUUUCAUCUCUAUGCCUGAGAGCUCUCCAAACCUCCCUCCUUCUUAGAUCAAUGGCAAAAAAGUAUAACUUAUUAUCUCUAUUGUACUUAUGAUAAACAAAAUUGUGGGGCUGGGCUGAUACGAGUGCUGGUGCAAGGUGGGGAAAUAAGAGCAGGGGCCUUAAUAAAACCAUCUUAAGAAAGAGGAGUAACUGAUUAUGGAUAUACUAGACAUUUUGGAUAGAUGUAAACCACUGCUUUUUUUUUUUAAAUGUAAAACCUGGUUUUAAAAGAGUUAAUGUAUAAACUGUGAAAUGUUUUAGCAAUAUGAAAUCUGGUUUUGACUCCAUGGCUCAGUCUCGGCACUACCCCUGUCUGUGGUGCAAUAAACUCAGUUGAGCUGCAUGUAAUCUAUUUACAAAAACAGCAGCUUUGCAGUCCUUGAUUUGUGUGUCCUUUUAAUUUCUCCAUCCCUGUUGAGUCUCCCUCUGAUGCACCAUGCCAUGAAGAUGAUUAACCUCCAGCACUUUAUCAGCCCAAGAUCCACGGCUGUGGCAGUGCAAGGAACUAUCCUGGUGUAACUGUAGUGCAAGCCAGGCCUGAAGACCAGGUGCUGGGUCUCUGCCCGCUAAGUGCAAAGCCGUUUCUUCCUCACAAAAGCUAGCAAUUUGCUUAAAUCCUGAGAAUAAACCUUAAAUGCUCAGUAAGAUAAGAUUGAUAAGAGGCAACCCCAGCCUCUUAUCAAAUAGAUGGCUAAACUGACCCCCAGGUGGGCUUGGGAGGCAGGGUUCUCCAGACAGUUCUGGAACUUUCUCCUGAGCGCCCCUCGCACCCUCAGGAGCAGCUGCUGGAGGAACCCACAGGUGCAGUGCAGUGCAGUGAUCCCGGCAGGCACUCACAGACACCUGAACCCAGGUGCAGCUGUUCUGGGCACCAGAACCUGGUGUUGCCCUUCCUUGGGAAGGAUGAAUGAUGUGGUUAUUGGGAGGAUAAGAAACAUAAGAAAGACAAAGACCAUUGGGAAACACCCACACAUAGACAGUGGACAAAGAAAGAAAGAAUCGUAAUGAGAAAGAGAAUGGAUGGAAGAUUAAUGUGCUUCUGAGCUGAGAGGAAAAAGAGUUUAAUGGAUUUCUCUACAUUUGUGUGAGUUCCCUAACAUUUUCCAAUUUGUGGCACACACAGAUGUCAGCCAUAUCAGGAGUUACUAUCUACCACUCUGACAGGACUCUGAGGUUGAUCUGCAAUCUCCGUAAAUUUUCCCACUGUCUUCCAAAAACUUUGGAGUCUGACUUUAUCGGGACCUUUAACUUGUUUUCCUGCUCUAGCCAGGAUUUCAGAGUCUAACAUUAAGAAUUAUUUCUGUAUUCAGAUCAGCAGGCAUAUUAAUGUCCUUAUCUUUUGUUGUUAUGGAUAAAGAUAAAAUAACAACAUUCUUAAUUGGGGUGAUGCUCAUCGUUAGAUUGCAGUGUCAUAGUAACUUCAUAUGAACAAGAACAAAAAAUUCAUUUGAUGGUCUCCACUGACUACUAAUAAACUUUGCAAAGUGAUUUGAAU